GAAAGACAUUUAAAUAAAGGCACUGCCUAAACAUUUUUUUUCCUGCUAGAUGUAUGACCCACAUAUGUAACCUAAACUUGUAACCUUGACCCAAACAGGGAAAAAAAGAAUGAUACUUGACCUACUUUAAGCCUUUAAGGCAUGAACCUUAAAAUUUCCUUUUUUGCAAUUUAAUGCUUCAGGAUACUUACAACUUAGAAUUUUAAAGUCCAAGCAAGUACAAGGAGACAGCCUUGCAAGCUCAUCUUUGAAAGGAGUUUCUCCAAGCCACAUUGG
rnacentral:misc_RNA from 1 species